rnacentral:rRNA from 1 species
UACAGGGGGUGCAAACGUUGCUCGGAAUUAUUGGGCGUAAAGCGCGCGUAGGCGGCUACUUAAGUCGGAUGUGAAAGCCCCUGGCUCAACUGGGGAAGUGCACCCGAAACUGAGUGGCUUGAGUGCGAAAGAGGGUCGCGGAAUUCCCGGUGUAGAGGUGAAAUUCGUAGAUAUCGGGAGGAACACCGGUGGCGAAGGCGGCGACCUGGGUCGACACUGACGCUGAGGCGCGAAAGCCAGGGGAGCAAACGGG